rnacentral:rRNA from 1 species
GACGACGCUGGCGGCGUGCUUAAAACAUGCAAGUCGAACGGACUUCUCAUGAAGCUUGCGAUUGAGAAGUUAGUGGCGGACGGGUGAGUAACGCGUGGGCAACCCUGCCCCUGAGCCCGGGAUAACAGUUCGAAAGGACUGCUAAGACCGGAUAUACUUGCGGGGAAGCAUUUCACUGCAAGGAAAGGGAACGCUCAGGGAUGGGCCCGCGUCCCAUUAGCUAGUUGGUGAGGUAACGGCCCACCAAGGCGACGAUGGGUAGCCGGCCUGAGAGGGUGAACGGCCACACUGGGACUGAGACACGGCCCAGACUCCUACGGGAGGCAGCAGUUGGGAAUCUUCGGCAAUGGGCGCAAGCCUGACCGAGCAACGCCGCGUGAGUGAUGAAGGUUUUCGGAUUGUAAAGCUCUGUCUUCCGGGACGAUAAUGACGGUACCGGAGGAGGAAGCCACGGCUAACUACGUG